AUUGAACGCUGGCGGCAGGCCUAACACAUGCAAGUCGGGCGGUAACAGGAAUCAGCUUGCUGAUUCGCUGACGAGCGGCGGACGGGUGAGUAAUGUCUGGGAAACUGCCUGAUGGAGGGGGAUAACUACUGGAAACGGUAGCUAAUACCGCAUAACGUCUACGGACCAAAGUGGGGGACCUUCGGGCCUCAUGCCAUCAGAGGUGCCCAGAUGGGAUUAGCUAGUAGGUGGGGUAACGGCUCACCUAGGCGACGAUCCCUAGCUGGUCUGAGAGGAUGACCAGCCACACUGGAACUGAGACACGGUCCAGACUCCUACGGGAGGCAGCAGUGGGGAAUAUUGCACAAUGGGCGCAAGCCUGAUGCAGCCAUGCCGCGUGUAUGAAGAAGGCCUUCGGGUUGUAAAGUACUUUCAGCGGGGAGGAAGGUGUUGUGGUUAAUAACCGCAGCAAUUGACGUUACCCGCAGAAGAAGCACCGGCUAACCCCGUGCCAGCCGCCGCCGUAA
rnacentral:rRNA from 1 species